UUAUAAAUUGGUGAUACUUCAUUAUACUUUUUUAAAAUUUCAAUAUUGACAAUAUAAAAAUUGAGAAUGAAAUUUUAAAAAAGUAUAAUGAAGUAUCACCAAUUUAUAAAGAAAAUACAGCAUUAAAAAAAUGAAGAAACAGAUGAAAACAAUAAAAACGAUUAUUUAGUUAAUCAAAACAUAAUAAAUAAAAAACCAUAUAUAGAUAAUACUAAACAUAUACAAGAAUAUAAUACAAAAAAAAUAAGUUGUGAUACUAUUACUACUGCUACUACUGAAACUUAUAAUAAUAAUCAUGAAUCUAUGUCUUUUAUUAACAAUUUAUCAAAAAGUAGGAAUACAACAUAUAAUGAUUUUAUAAGUAAUUAUAAUAAUGAUGAUAUGACUUGUACAGAAAGAAAUUUAGAAGAAGCUGUAAAUAGAAGAAAUAAAAUAAAACAAAUGUUUUUAGAAUAUAAUUCGUUAAAUUUAAGUUUAUGUAGUGAUAAUUUUGAAAAUUAUGAUUUAAAAAAAAAAACAUCUUUAUAUAAAUUGGAUUCUAAUUUUGAAAAAGAGGAUGUGAAUGAAAAAAAUGAAAUAGUUUAUAAAAAAAAAAGAAACAGAAAGAGAUUAUUCAGGUAUAACUAAUAUUUUAGAUUAUAAUAGCAUAGACAACAGAAAAACAUAUUAUAAUAAUGACAUUAAUAAAAAUAGUUUUGAAGAAAAAGAAAAAAAAAAAAAAAAAAACAUUUACAACAAUAAUAAUAACAAUAAUAGUAAUAAUAAUAGUAAUAAUAAUAUAAAUAAAAAUGAUGACAAUAUAUCUGGUAAAAUAUUUAAUAAUAAGAAUAGUUAUUAUUGUUAUGAAAAUAGUAGUAAAGAUAUUAUACAACCACGAAUAAAUAAUAUAUCUUUGGAUAAUUCAAUAUUUAGUGAGAAUGAUGAUGAUAUAGACGAUUAUAAAAGUUUUAUAACAUUAGAUAGUAAUAGUAGUCUAUUUAAAACUAAACCGCUUAAAGUACCAGACAUUUCAUUUUUUGAAUUCUGCUAGUCGAACUUAUAGUAGUAAGGACUUGUCAAAUAACGUGGAUGAAAAAAAUUGCACAAACAAAAAUGGGAAAAGUAGUAGUAAUAAUUACAACAAUAAUAACGAUGAUAACAAAGAUGAUGGGAACAAAAAGGAUGGCAGUUGUGAGUAUAUAUCAAACCGAAUACUUUAUGAAAAGUUAGAAGGGUUAUCUUUUUACUGUGAUGAUGUUGAUACCACUGACGACGAUAACGAUAAUGAAAGUAGUAAUGAUGGAAUUAGUAAUAAUGUUAAUAGUAAUAAUAAUAACAACAGCAGUAAUAAUGACAACAACAAAAACAACAACAGUAACAAUAACAACAACAACAACAACAACAACAACAGCAGUAAUAAUGAUUAUGUUAGUUUUUUCUCGGAACCUACUGAAGAAAAAAGCAUCAUACCAAAAAUAGCAGAUUCCGGAGACCAAUAUGAUCAUUUGGAUAGUUCGUCUGUUGUACCUGAAGAAAGUGAUUGUAGUGGGGAUAGGUAUAAAGAGCUAACCAUAGAAAAAGAGUUAAUAAAUAAAAAAAAAAUAAAUGUAAAUAAUGAUAAUAAAAUUUGUAAUAAAUACAGUUACAGAGGUAGCAAUACAUAUAGAGAAGAUAAAAUAAAUGAAAAAAAUGAAGAAAAUGAAGAAAGUGAAGAUAGAUAUGAGCAUAUGUACAAAAAAGAUACAGAUUCAAGAAUAGAUGAAAAUACUAGUUAUACAAAAAAUAAACAACAACCAGAUGGUUUAAGUUUGUAUGACCUUGAAAGUGACCAAUCGAGAGACGAACCGAGUGAUCACGCAUGUCACACACGUUUAGACCUAACUAAUAAAUUAAAUUUAUUAAAAAAAAAUCGGACAAAUUUGAUAAUGUUGGAAAAAGGGGAGAAGAAGAAAAUGGAUUUAAAACCUCUUAUUUAAUAACAAAAAAAUUUGAGAACAAUCUUAAUAUACAUUAUGAUUCUAACACUACUACUAAUACUACCGCUAUUACUACUAAUACUACCACUAUUACUACUAAUAGUAAUAAUAAGAAUGACAGUAUUGGUAGCAGUGGUAUUGGUGUUAGCAAUAACCACCAAAUGAAUUAUGGCUUAACUUACUUUACAAACAUAAAUAUAAAUAAUAAUGAAAAUUCGAACAAAUUAGAAGAAAAAAGUUACUUUUAUAAUAAUAUAAAAAGAGAAAGUGACAUUAAUACAAAUAAUAUAUUUUUAAAUAGAAAUGAUGGUUUUAAUGUUAUUAACAAAUUUCAACAUGAUAUUUUAAAUGCUCAAUCAUUAAAAAAUGAACAAACAAAUGAACAAACAAAUGAACAAACAA
rnacentral:lncRNA from 1 species